CAUGAGGUAACUUUUCUCUGGGAAACAUGGAUACAUAUUUUUUUUUGUCAGGGGGAGUUAGCUUGGUUAAGAAAUUAUGAUGGCCUUUGUUGCUUUCUCCUUUAAGGGAAAUGCUAAAUUAUGUUUUUAAAUGUAAUUGCUUAAUUGACGUAAUUAACUAUUUUACUCUUGUCAGAAUAUUAUUAUUUUAUUUUUUUUCUCCAGAUGUGUGUCGUUGUAAGACACACUUCUUAAUGGACAUAUAGGAAUGUUUAGCAAAAAAACUAAACAAGCUGCAAAAUCAAUCUGGCUAUAGUUGACAUUAAUUUGAGCUCUUUGUCAUUAUAUGGCAUCCUCAAUGUUAUUAUAGGUAGCCUAUGUUUCAUUUCCACCACACACAGCCUCAGAAUGCAGGCUAGUAAGUCCUGAACUUGCUUAAGUUUGGAUGCACAAAGCAGGGACCAGAGAAUAUCAGCUCCAAAAGCUUUUUCUCAUGUUUCACUGGGUGUCUAAGUCUCUCGAGGUGAAUUAUUGAAAGGUUAUUUAUCUUGGAGAAUUAAAGGUAUCAGUGAAUUUCAUUCUAUAUUGUGUUUAGCCUAUAUCCCCUUUCUUUUGCUACUUUUUUGUAUUCUCAUGUAUUUUUAUAUAUAAAUAUACUUAAAUGUUCUUCUGUCAUUCACUUUUUAUUAGAGUUAAUAUUUUCAAGACUGCCUGUUUUUAAGUGACAUGGCUCGCAAUCUAUGGAGAGCAUGGAUCAUUCCAGUUUAUUUUUUUUAAAGGUUAAACUUUAAUCUAAUUCCAAAAAAACCUGCCCCACGUAAUGUUAACAGCUAUUUUUUCAAAAACAAAGAAAACAACAACCUGGUACAUCAAAAGUACACAAAUCAAAGCUUAAAUGCCUGUAACCUGAUAUCUGUUUUCCUGCAAUGUAUGGUUAGGUUAUGUGACUCAGAGGCAUGUUGUAUGAACUUUUUUUUACUCAUUCAUCUCUUCACUCUUGGAAGCCAUUUGGUGCUCAAUAAAGGAUAAAAGGUCAACCAUAAAACAGUUAUUUUUUUUCUUCAUAUUUUUUAUUUUUAGCUAAAUGUUACAGAAACUUGGCAGUAUUCCAUAUUCUUACAUGAGAAAUGAAACUGCACACUGGGACAUAGAUUCUGUAUUAGUGUAUGUAUUUGUUCUUGUCUAUAAAAUACAGUAUGUACAACAAGACUGAGCUUGCAGUAUGCCAUUGUCAUUUUGUGGCUGUUGCAAGAUUUUUUUAACAUCUGUUUUCUCCCUUCUCCUUUAUUGAUGUUAUUAAUCUGUUAACCUUACGGCACUAGUGAUUGUACUUUGUAAGUGCAACUACUGUAGUGAGUUUGGAUUUGGGGAACUGAACCAUGUGUUAGGGUCCAGUGUUGAAGCCUUGUACCAUUGGCCUACAAGAUAUGAAUGUGAAGAGUACAUAACAAAUCUGAAGUGGACCAGACGUACAUAACAGUAGAACAGUAAUAUGUGUAUUUAACAGUAAACUAUUUGCAAAGCAGUCAGUAUAGUAGUUGUCACAGUUGUUUUACCAGUAGAGGGCGUUAUUGAUAGAGCAGGGUUUUUUUUCUGACCAUAAGCUUCUCAGGCGUGUGGCAUAUUAUGC
rnacentral:lncRNA from 1 species